rnacentral:tRNA from 1 species
AAUGGAUUAAAUUUCUCAUUAAA